rnacentral:rRNA from 1 species
UUGGCCUACGGGGGGCAGCAGUGAGGAAUAUUGGUCAAUGGCCGGAAGGCUGAACCAGCCAAGUCGCGUGAGGGAAUAAGGCCCUAUGGGUCGUAAACCUCUUUUGUCAGGGAGCAAAGGCGUCCACGUGUGGACGAGAGGAGAGUACCUGAAGAAAAAGCAUCGGCUAACUCCGUGCCAGCAGCCGCGGUAAUACGGAGGAUGCGAGCGUUAUCCGGAUUUAUUGGGCGUAAAGGGAACGCAGGCGGUCUUUUAAGUCUGAUGUGAAAGCCUUCGGCUUAACCGGAGUAGUGCAUUGGAAACUG